rnacentral:rRNA from 1 species
AGAACGAACGCUGGCGGCAGGCCUAACACAUGCAAGUCGAACGCCCGUAGCAAUACGGGAGUGGCAGACGGGUGAGUAACGCGUGGGAACGUGCCCUUCGGUUCGGAAUAACUCAGGGAAACUUGAGCUAAUACCGGAUACGUCCGUAAGGAGAAAGAUUUAUUGCCGAAGGAUCGGCCCGCGUCGGAUUAGCUAGUUGGUGGGGUAAUGGCCCACCAAGGCGACGAUCCGUAGCUGGUCUGAGAGGAUGAUCAGCCACACUGGGACUGAGACACGGCCCAGACUCACGGAGGCAGCAGUGGGAAUAUUGGACAAUGGGCGAAAGCCUAGAUCCAGCCAUGCCGCGUGAGUGAAGAAGGCCUUAGGGUU